UAUUCCAAAUGAAAUUGCCAAUCUUUCAAAUCUUAAAAUUAUGUCUUUGGCUCAAAAUCAACUCAUUGGCUACAUACCUAGAAGCAUUGGAAGUUUGGUUUCGCUUCAGGAAUUAGAUCUUGGUUUCAAUAAUUUACAAGGUGAUAUACCAAAUGGUAUUGGAAAAUUGGAUAUGCUUCAAGUGCUAGGUCUUGAACAUAAUAAUUUACAAGGAGGUAUUCCAAAUGAAAUUGCCAAUCUUACGAGUCUUAAAAUUAUGUACUUGGGUUAUAAUCAACUCAUUGGCUACAUACCUACAAGCAUUGGAAGUUUGGUUUUGCUUCAGGAAUUAGAUCUUGGUUCCAAUAAUUUAUAAGGUGAUAUACCUGAAGGAAUUGGGAAAUUGGAUAUGCUUCAAGAGCUAUAUCUUGAUCAUAAUAAUUUACAAGGAAGCAUUCCCGAACAGAUUGGUAAUCUUAAAAGUCUAAAAAUUUUAUUUUUAGACACCAAUAUGUUUUCAAGCCAAAUACCAUCAACUAUCUUUAAUAUAUCUGGGUUGCAAGAGAUUGAUUUUAGUUGGAAUAAUUUGUCGGGAGGCAUUCCCUCAAAUAUAUGUCAUGGCCUUCCAAAUUUACAAGCUUUGGAUCUUCAAGCCAACAAAUUAUUUGGAGCUAUACCAUCUGAUUGGACACAAUGCAAGGAACUCAAAGAGUUACAAUUAGGAGACAAC